CCUACGGGAGGCAGCAGUGAGGAAUAUUGGUCAAUGGCCGGAAGGCUGAACCAGCCAAGCCGCGUGAAGGACGAAGGUGCCAAGCAUUGUAAACUUCUUUUGUCAAGGGACAAAAUCAGGCUCGAGAGCCUGACUGAGGGUACUUGAAGAAAAAGCAUCGGCUAACUCCGUGCCAGCAGCCGCGGUAAUACGGAGGAUGCGAGCGUUAUCCUGAUUUAUUGGGUUUAAAGGGUGCGUAGGCUGUGAGGUAAGUCAGCGGUGAAAUGCCCCCGCUCAACGGGGUGAAGUGCCAUUGAUACUGCCUUGCUGGAAUGCGGAUGCCGUGGGAGGAAUGUGUGGUGUAGCGGUGAAAUGCAUAGAUAUCACACAGAACACCGAUUGCGAAGGCAGCUCACGAAUGCGCGAUUGACGCUGAUGCACGAAAGCGUGGGUAUCGAACAGGAUUAGAUACCCUAGUAGUC
rnacentral:rRNA from 1 species